rnacentral:rRNA from 1 species
GAGUUUGAUCCUGGCUCAGAUUGAACGCUGGCGGCAUGCCUUACACAUGCAAGUCGAACGGCAGCACGGGAGCUUGCUCCUGGUGGCGAGUGGCGAACGGGUGAGUAAUGCAUCGGAACGUAUCCUGGAGUGGGGGAUAACGUAGCGAAGGUUACGCUAAUACCGCAUAUUCUGUGAGCAGGAAAGCGGGGGACCUUCGGGCCUCGCGCUUUUGGAGCGGCCGAUGUCGGAUUAGCUAGUUGGUGAGGUAAAGGCUCACCAAGGCGACGAUCCGUAGCAGGUCUGAGAGGAUGAUCUGCCACACUGGAACUGAGACACGGUCCAGACUCCUACGGGAGGCAGCAGUGGGGAAUUUUGGACAAUGGGGGCAACCCUGAUCCAGCCAUGCCGCGUGAGUGAAGAAGGCCUCGG